GCAGCNACGCCGCGUUGAGGGACGACGGCCUUCGGGUUGUAAACCUCUUUUAGUAGGGAAGAAGCGAAAGUGACGGUACCUCCAAAGGAAGCACCGGCUAACUCUGUGCCAGCAGCCGCGGUAAUACAGAGGGUGCGAGCGUUGUCCGGAAUCACUGGGCGUAAAGGGCGCGUAGGCGGCCUGGUAAGUAGGGGGUGAAAUCCUGCGGCUCAACCGCAGGGCUGCCUUCUAAACUGCCAGGCUGGAGCACGGUAGAGGCAGAUGGAAUUCCCGGUGUAGCGGUGGAAUGCGUAGAGAUCGGGAAGAACACCAGUGGCGAAGGCGGUCUGCUGGGCCGUUGCUGACGCUGAGGCGCGAUAGCGUGGGGAGCAAACAGGAUUAGAUACCCUGGUAGUCCACGCCGUAAACNAUGGGUACUAGGCGUCGGGGGGAGCGACCCUCCCGGUGCCGUCGCUAACGCAGUAAGUACCCCGCCUGGGGAGUACGGCCGCAAGGCUG
rnacentral:rRNA from 1 species